rnacentral:lncRNA from 1 species
GUCAAAGGACUUUGAGACAUCAACAGCAUAUUAUUGUCAUGAUUUUAUUUUCAGGGCAUCCCGUGUGGCUCAGCGGUUUAGCGCCACCUUCAGCCAAGGGUGGGAUCCUGGAGACCUGGGAUCGAGUUCCACAUCGGGCUCCCUGCAUGGAGCUUGCUUCUCCCUCUGCCUGUAUCUCUGCCUCUCUUUGUGUCUCUCAUGAAUAAAUAAAUAAAAUAUUUUUAAAAAGAUUUUAUUUUCAAGUAAUCUCUACAUUUAACAUGGAGCUUGAACUCAUAACUCCAAGAUCAAGAGCUGGACACUCCAUUGGCUGAGCCAGCCAGGCUCCCCUGUCCACUACCUACUCUUUCUUUUUCUCUUUCUUUUUCUCUUUCUUUUUCUCUUUCUUUUUCUUUCUUUCUUUCUUUCUUUCUUUCUUUCUUUCUUUCUUUCUUUCUUUCUUUCUUUCUUUCUUUCUUUCUUUCUUCCUUCCUUCCUUCCUUCCUUCCUUCCCACUAUUUUUCUAUUUUAAUUCAUGACUUGGACUGUAAUCAGGUUGGCAACAGAUAAAACUCUACUAUUUCAUUAUACUCCUUUUGGAGAAAUAGAAGAAUGAAGUUGGUAUUUAAGACAUAAGGGGAUGCAUUCACUUAGGAAAAGAAAAUAAACAUCCUAAAGUUAAAAAAAAGAGGAUGCCCUGGUGUGAUGUUAAAUGUAAAAAUAAACUAGACAUAGAAAAACAAGGUAAUCAAUAGCUAAUUUCCACAUUUGCUUAUUUGCAAACUCUAACAAAAUAAACUCUUUUAAGAAAUCUAAGAAACACCCCCCUCCCCACAUUAUUAGAAAGAGAACAACUCACCUAAAGAAUAUAAACAAAUUAAAUCACUGAUGGGGAGCACUUGAUGGGAUGAGCACUGGGUGUUAUGCUAUAUGUUGGCAAAUUGAACUCCAAUAAAAUAAAUAAAUAAAAAUAAAAUUAAAAAAAGAAAAAAAUUAACCUAUUAAAUGACAUAUUAAUAAGUAUAAAAACCUCCAUGAAAUUAUUUUUCCAAAAAAACCAAACAUCAACUAAAAGUAGAAAUCUUGAAAUAAUGAAUACUGUAAGUAACUGAGGAUGUUAUAGAACCUGCCCCAGAAGGGACUAUGACAAGGGGUUCACUACUGACUACUUCCAGCCUACCUUCCACACAUUAAACAAUUGAUAAUUCCUGUGCUGUGUGAAACCUUCCAGAGCAUAGAAAUACGAUGUCUAGGCCCUCAUUCCAAACCUGGUAAAGAUAGCGGAAAGAAUAAAAAAUUGGAGAAUAAUAAAAACAAAGAUUAACCUCUUAAAAAAAGAUUAUUUAUUUGAGAAAGAGAGAGAGAGCAGGAGUGGGGGAAGAGGGGCAGCGGGAGAGAUAAUCUCAAGCCGACUCUGUGCUGAACGUGGACCCCAACCUGGGGCUCAAUUGCAGGGCCCUGAGAUCACGACCUGAGCCGAAACCAAGAGACAGGUGCUCAAUUGACUGCACCACCAGGCACCCCAAGACUAAUCUCUUUUGAAUGAACAAAAUAGCAAAUGGAAUUUACUAAUACAUUAAGGUACGAAUAUACCACAAUCUAGUUGAGUUAUCCUCCAAAUAUAGGAAGGUUCCACAUAAGAAAAUUUAUUAAUAUAGCAGAUUAAUUUUUAAACAUUCCCCUCAACUGGUUAACUUCAAAAGUUUAAAUAGGACUAGAAAUCUAUUUCCCUAAAAGGGUGAAGCAUAUCUAUUCCGAACAAAUGAUCAACAUUAUAUUACAUGUAAGGAAAAUGUUUUUGAAAAUAUCACAUUAAUAAAUUUUAUUUCCCCUUUGAAUCUUACUCCCUUGGCAGGCUUCCAUCUCCUAAACCAGCAAGUAGAUAUUUGACUUUUAUACCUGGGCAUAGAAAUGUUUCAAAGUCUCUUUUUCCUUUCCUCUUGGUUUAACUGAAACCUAGCCUGGAUGACUGUUACCUAAGUUCCCUCACAGAAUGACGAUGGGCAUUGAAGCCGAUGCUCUUUGGUGAGGAGCCAGUCUGGGGGGUGGGAAGGUGGUUUAGGCAAGGAUAUGACAGAGGGGAAGCAAAAACUUAGUGACUCCAGCUCCUCAAGAGUGUGGAAGGGAGAAGGAAGGGGAUGGGGUGGGGGACAGUUUGAAAGAAUGCAAGAUAAGAGAUACAUGUUCCAACCUCUCCUCUUUGGGUGAUUGGAAGGCUGAGAUAAGUGAAGCAGGGAUUGAGUAGCAUGAGCAAACACCAAGGACUCUUGUUUAGAUGUCUGGGGGCAGCCACCUACGGUGGUGCCUUCACCAACAUAAAGGUGGAAGCCCUGCAAGCAUCUUCCCAGAGAGGGGAGGGUCUCUCCUCCCAGCUCCUUCCUUCAGGAAGGA